GAUGAAGAACGUAGCGAAAUGCGAUAAGUAAUGUGAAUUGCAGAAUUCAGUGAAUCAUCGAAUCUUUGAACGCACAUUGCGCCCGCCAGUAUUCUGGCGGGCAUGCCUGUUCGAGCGUCAUUUCAACCCUCAAGCCCCAGCGGCCUGGUGUUGGGGACCGGCGACCUCGCCCGAGCCCGCCCUCCGGGGCGCGUGCCCGGUGCGUCCGCCGCCCCCGAAAUGAAUUGGCGGCCUCGUCGCGGCCUCCUCUGCGUAGUAGCACAACCUCGCAAGCGGGAGCGCGACGCGGCCACUGCCGUAAAACGCCCAACUUUUUUAGUGUUGACCUCGGAUCAGGUAGGAAUACCCGCUGAACUUAAGCAUAUCAAUAAGCGGAGGA
rnacentral:misc_RNA from 1 species